rnacentral:rRNA from 1 species
AGAGUUUGAUCCUGGCUCAGGAUGAACGCUAGCUACAGGCUUAACACAUGCAAGUCGAGGGGCAGCAUGAACUUAGCUUGCUAAGUUUGAUGGCGACCGGCGCACGGGUGAGUAACACGUAUCCAACCUGCCGAUGACUCGGGGAUAGCCUUUCGAAAGAAAGAUUAAUACCCGAUGGCAUAGUUCUUCCGCAUGGUAGAACUAUUAAAGAAUUUCGGUCAUCGAUGGGGAUGCGUUCCAUUAGGUUGUUGGCGGGGUAACGGCCCACCAAGCCUUCGAUGGAUAGGGGUUCUGAGAGGAAGGUCCCCCACAUUGGAACUGAGACACGGUCCAAACUCCUACGGGAGGCAGCAGUGAGGAAUAUUGGUCAAUGGGCGAGAGCCUGAACCAGCCAAGUAGCGUGAAGGAUGACUGCCCUAUGGGUUGUAAACUUCUUUUAUAAAGGAAUAAAGUCGGGUAUGCAUACCCGUUUGCAUGUACUUUAUGAAUAAGGAUCGGCUAACUCCGUGCCAGCAGCCGCGGUAAUACGGAGGAUCCGAGCGUUAUCCGGAUUUAUUGGGUUUAAAGGGAGCGUAGAUGGAUGUUUAAGUCAGUUGUGAAAGUUUGCGGCUCAACCGUAAAAUUGCAGUUGAUACUGGAUAUCUUGAGUGCAGUUGAGGCAGGCGGAAUUCGUGGUGUAGCGGUGAAAUGCUUAGAUAUCACGAAGAACUCCGAUUGCGAAGGCAGCCUGCUAAGCUGCAACUGACAUUGAGGCUCGAAAGUGUGGGUAUCAAACAGGAUUAGAUACCCUGGUAGUCCACACGGUAAACGAUGAAUACUCGCUGUUUGCGAUAUACGGCAAGCGGCCAAGCGAAAGCGUUAAGUAUUCCACCUGGGGAGUACGCCGGCAACGGUGAAACUCAAAGGAAUUGACGGGGGCCCG